rnacentral:rRNA from 1 species
UACGUAGGGGGCUAGCGUUGCUCGGAAUCACUGGGCGUAAAGCGCAUGUAGGCGGCUUUCUAAGUCAGGGGUGAAAUCCUGGAGCUCAACUCCAGAACUGCCUUUGAUACUGGAGAGCUUGAGUCCGGGAGAGGUGAGUGGAACUCCGAGUGUAGAGGUGAAAUUCGUAGAUAUUCGCAAGAACACCAGUGGCGAAGGCGGCUCACUGGCCCGGUACUGACGCUGAGGUGCGAAAGCGUGGGGAGCAAACAGG